CCAAUUGCAAGCACCUAUUUGAUGUUCUUCUGCCCAUCUAAAUUCCACAUGUUAUGUCAGUGGUACAGCCGCAUGGAUUGGAAGUAUGUAUUUCAGCUUGGGUUUAAAGGGGCAGUCUGGUGAUAUGAAAAUUUGUACAAACUAUCUAGGACCUCAAGUUCACAUGGGUGUGCUUAUUUACCUUCUAACUACAGAUGACACCCAAUAGAUCAAUUAGUGCCAUCUCCAGAUUUCUAUCAUCAUGUUGCUUCAUUUAUCUUCAUAUAAGUUUCACUGAGAGAUGCAUGCAUUAAACAUAGUGUUUUUUAGUGGGCAUCAGACUUGGUUAGAUGGCUUUUGCUGUGAAAGAAAAUUUAUCUCUCUAAAGAUCUGUACUCUGAAUCCUAGAUCUCAUACUUGAUUUUUUGGUAUAAGAAUAGAUAUCUAUAGAUCGUUGCUGUAUGGAUACAGUAUAGAUGAGAUACUUGAUUUCACUACUCCAAGAUCACUUACAGGUAAUUGAACUUGCUCCGGAAGCAUGGAGCAUCCUGAGAUCCCUGAUGUGGUAGUUAGCUUCUUGCAUGUUGCUUACACAUACGUGCCAGUAGCUGUCUCCAGUCUCCACUGCAUUUCACUAGCAGUAGUUUUCGCCUUGUGAGUUAGACGAUUCCGAGAGAGCAAAGAGUGAGUUGAGAGGGAUGGAGAGAGCACAGAAGGGAAGGAGAAAGGAAUAGGGAGGAGCGGCGGUGGUUGGUUCUCCGGCGGCACUGGAUCGGGCACGGGCGCAGAGCUCCUGCUCGGGGACGCGAAGAUCCUGGGAGGCACUCUCCCAUUCAGUUACCCUUACUAUCGGUUCCUAGGUGCAGCCCCGGCGGCCAUCGUCUGAACGGCGCGGACGCGUGCUUCUCCCCAGGGAGGGCCAUGCCGCUGCAGAUGAAACUGAAUCCCCUUCCGAGCCGGCGGACAUGACAUGGUUGGUUUCACGGGAUUGACUCGGCUACCUACAGAAGUGCCACCAAUCUGAACCAAGCUGUUGCGUCAAGGUGAGAUGAUAAAUUCCGUUCUUGACCACUGCCACCCUGUUUAGUACUCUUAUUGAUCUGAUUUCUCUCUUGUUGAUGCAACCUGCUCACUUCACGUGAAGGCAUGUAGGUUGAUUCAUAUGAUUCUUCAGCGGCAGCAAGUUUUUCAUGUACAUUCCUUCCUAUAAGCGACGGGCGCGAUACGCACCUCCAACCAACGCUUUCCACGGUGAUCCCCGGCCACGAGCAUGUCUAUCCCCUACAAGCCGCUACCGGUGCUCCCUCUCCGCUGGAUGCGGCAAGGUCGUGCGAGUGUUCUGUAGCUCGGCGCUGCACCAUGGGCACAGGAUCGUCGCUCUCAUGGCCACAGCCGCAAACUUUGUGUCUGGCCUGC